GUUUAAACCAGCUGUGUGAGUAAUUUCAAAACAAGUCGUUGAUGCUGUUGGGAAGCUUUGGAGGGAGAUACGUUAGCAAUGCAUGCUAACAAAACGUUGCCGUUACCGAAACAAGGGGGUGGACCGAGUAUGCUGAUUUAUAUUUUGGGCAAGGGGCUUGGACUCUAUCCAGAGGAGGUGGGCAAACACCAUGGGCAGUUGCCAGGACUGCCACUGGGAUUGUUAAGGGUCUCACUUGGCUUUGACAAUAAAGUUGUAGGUGUCGUUCCAGUGCGCCAGCAGGUCGGUGGCAUCCUCAUCGUACACACGGACGUUGUGAUAAGAGAACAUCCCUGGGAAGAAGUUGUCGAUCUCUCUGGUAACAUUCAGGAUGUAACCCACUCUGCAACCACAACAACAAAGCAUUAGUUUUUCUUUUCCUGACUAUUAGUUAAAUUGUUACUCAAUACACAGAAUAGAAAUGAAUCUGAUUCACAUGGAGAUUCUCUGCUGAGCUGAUUAAAUUACUGACUGAGAGCCAUGUAGAAAAGUGCCUUUGUUUUCAACAGAUUAACUUGAUAUAAUUUUAUUCUUUGCCUGCCAAAGCCUAAGAUGUAAGAUUGAAAUAUUGCUUUAUUACAUUUACUGGCUACUAUCAAUACAGUGUCUGGACUCAGUUCUGUUUCUGUGGCAGAACAUUCAAUUCAACAUCUGCACGUGAACCAACACACUACUUCUAACAUUAACUAUGACAUGCUGUACAUCUCAAUUUUCAAGACAAAAUACUCAUAAAUAAAGUAUAUUUUGCUUGUUGAACUAAAA